GCUCUGGUGAAGCCGAACAUCUGGCAGAAGCCUUCGUUGCAGUAAAUGAUGCCGCAGUUCUUCAUCUGGGCGUUGGCGAUGAGAAACUUGCGAUCUGAGGAGUUGAAAAAAAGUGCUGUGUCAAGCGAUGAUUUAAAAAGCUCAAGUGGAACUAAUGAGGUGCACCUUUCCAUGGUGCUAAUGCUGUUAGCGUCACAGUUUCUCCAGAGGGGCUGAGAGGAGGCAGGUGGGCUCUUCACCCUGAGAGCCUCUGCAUCGCUCUCAGAAACCGUGCAAAUUGGAGAAAAAGUCUGUAAUUGGACGGCAGAUCUUGGAUGUGCUGCUGUGUCUUUCAGGCAGCAGAUGAUGAUCCUCCCUACAGGAGGUCAAACCACCAUCUCCAAUCUCUGCUCCUGUGGGAAACGCUGUGGCUCAACACCGUCAGCUACAACAGUAAUGGUUCCUCCUGGGCUGUCACACCUUUGACUGAGAGCUUCUCUGCUCUCCUUCAUAGUAUUUCUGAGCUCACACACCAUCCAGCUCCCGUUAUUGACGGACUGUGUCACCGGCAAACAGCCACUAGGCCAGAAAACACUGCAUGAAGUGAAUUAGGACGGUUUUGUUCGAAGGCCGCUAAUGGG